UUUAUUGGAGAGUUUGAUCCUGGCUCAGGACGAACGCUGGCGGCGUGCCUAAUACAUGCAAGUCGAGCGAAUCUGAGGGAGCUUGCUCCUGACGAUUAGCGGCGGACGGGUGAGUAACACGUGGGUAACCUGCCUGUAAGAUUGGGAUAACUCCGGGAAACCGGAGCUAAUACCGGAUAACAUUUCGAACCGCAUGGUUCGAAGUUGAAAGGUGGCUUUUGCUACCACUUACAGAUGGACCCGCGGCGCAUUAGCUAGUUGGUGAGGUAACGGCUCACCAAGGCGACGAUGCGUAGCCGACCUGAGAGGGUGAUCGGCCACACUGGGACUGAGACACGGCCCAGACUCCUACGGGAGGCAGCAGUAGGGAAUCUUCCGCAAUGGACGAAAGUCUGACGGAGCAACGCCGCGUGAGCGAAGAAGGCCUUCGGGUCGUAAAGCUCUGUUGUUAGGGAAGAACAAGUACCGUUCGAAUAGGGCGGUACCUUGACGGUACC
rnacentral:rRNA from 1 species